GAUGAACGCUAGCGGCAGGCCUAAUACAUGCAAGCCGAACGGCAAGUUUGAUAGCAAUAUUGGACCUAGAGUGGCGCAAGGGUGCGUAACACGUAUGCAACCUGCCCGCGACAGGAGGAUAGCUCCCCGAAAGGGGAAUUAACCCUCCAUAACACCAUGAGAAGGCCUCUGAUUAUGGUUAAACCGCAAGGGGUCGCGGAUGGGCAUGCGGUUGAUUAGCUAGUUGGCGGGGUAAAGGCCCACCAAGGCGGUGAUCAAUAGGGGUUCUGAGAGGAAGGUCCCCCACAAUGGCACUGAGAUACGGGGCAGACUCCUACGGGAGGCAGCAGGAGGGAAUAUUGGACAAGGGUUGCAAGAAUGAUCCAGCCAUGCCGCGUGCAGGAAGAAGGCCUGCUGGGUCGUAAACUGCGUUUGCCUGGGGAUAAAAUACCCGUGCGCGGGGAAUUGAAGGUAACAGGGGAAUAAGCCACGGCUAACUACGUG
rnacentral:rRNA from 1 species